UGGGGAAUUUUGGACAAUGGGCGAAAGCCUGAUCCAGCAAUGCCGCGUGUGUGAAGAAGGCCUUCGGGUUGUAAAGCACUUUUGUCCGGAAAGAAAUCCUUGGCUCUAAUACAGUCGGGGGAUGACGGUACCGGAAGAAUAAGCACCGGCUAACUACGUGCCAGCAGCCGCGGUAAUACGUAGGGUGCAAGCGUUAAUCGGAAUUACUGGGCGUAAAGCGUGCGCAGGCGGUUUGCUAAGACCGAUGUGAAAUCCCCGGGCUCAACCUGGGAACUGCAUUGGUGACUGGCAGGCUAGAGUAUGGCAGAGGGGGGUAGAAUUCCACGUGUAGCAGUGAAAUGCGUAGAGAUGUGGAGGAAUACCGAUGGCGAAGGCAGCCCCCUGGGCCAAUACUGACGCUCAUGCACGAAAGCGUGGGGAGCAAACAGGAUUAGAUACCCUGGUAGUCCACGCCCUAAAACGAUGUCAACUAGUUGUUGGGGAUUCAUUUCCUAGUAACGUAGCUAACGCGUGAAGUUGACCGCCUGGGGAGUACGGUCGCAAGAUUAAAACUU
rnacentral:rRNA from 1 species